rnacentral:tRNA from 1 species
GGAAAGGAAGCUUAUAGCGUUACAUUGUAAGUGUAAAGAUGAUUUAUUCCCAUUCCA